rnacentral:rRNA from 1 species
UACGUAGGGUGCGAGCGUUAAUCGGAAUUACUGGGCGUAAAGCGUGCGCAGGCGGUUCGGUGUGUCUGAUGUGAAAGCCCCGGGCUCAACUUGGGAACGGCAUUGGAAACUGGCGAGCUAGAGUGUGGCAGAGGGGGGUGGAAUUCCGCGUGUAGCAGUGAAAUGCGUAGAGAUGCGGAGGAACACCGAUGGCGAAGGCAGCCCCCUGGGCUGACACUGACGCUCAGGCACGAAAGCGUGGGGAGCAAACAGG